rnacentral:lncRNA from 1 species
AGUAAUCACUGUUGGCCUUUGACUGACUCAUCUUCUCUGUGAUGUUUGAUUAUUUUCUACUUCCUCUUUAAAAUACUUCAUUUCUUUGUUUUUUUAAAAAGUAUUUCUUUAUAUUAGUGCAUGAUUGCCAUACAUGACGAUUCCAUUCGUUGUGGGGAGUUGCUACAUGACACAUCUGGUUACUACCUCAUUUUCCCUCCUCUACUUUUUCUGUCUUCUCCAAGGGCCAAGCAGAACCCAGUUAUCCCUUAAGUGUAGGCUUCCUCCUUGGUUGUCUGCUGAUCUCACUGUGGAUGUAACCUCUCACCCCCUCUCACCCUCUGUAUCCCGUGAAAAAAGGAAGGUGGUUUGUUGGAAGUUGGUAAGAAGACUUGAGCAAAAAGCUUCAACUUCUGGACCACACACCUGCUCCGGCCGCGGUGAAUUUACUCCCAGAUCCUCUGUUGUCUCCCCACGCCUUCCCUCUGCAUCUCAGCCUUGCACAUCCUGCUCAUUCCUAAUGGCUGGCUUUCUCCCUCACCG